rnacentral:rRNA from 1 species
UACGGAGGGGGCAAGCGUUAUUCGGAAUUAUUGGGCGUAAAGGGCGCGUAGGCGGCUAGAUGUGUCAAAGGUGAAAUCCCUCGGCUCAACUGAGGAACUGCCUUUGAAACUGUCUGGCUUGAGGCCGGGAGAGGGUAGCGGAAUUCCCAGUGUAGCGGUGAAAUGCGUAGAUAUUGGGAGGAACACCAGUGGCGAAGGCGGCUACCUGGACCGGUUCUGGCGCUGAGGCGCGAAAGCGUGGGUAGCAAACAGG